GAAGGUAGUUUCUCGCGCAGUCGGGCUCUGAGGAGUCUAGGGUGCGGGGUAAAGGGGAGGACGCACGGUCUCCUGAACGCCUUUGAUUUUGCAGUUUGAAGAUGGGGCUCCCCUGGUGCUGGGUGGAGGAGCGGCCGCGUCGAACGUCCCGCCCCAGCCCAGGGCCUGGCAGGGCUGGACUGACGGAGAAGGUUUUGAAGGUGGAGCUGGCCCAGGAUGGACCGGCUGUCCAGGCACCCCAGCUCCUCGUUGCCGCGGGGCUCUUGGGGCUGGGCAUCGGGUAGUACCCCAGCACUGGCCGCCCUAGGGCGGACCUUGGGCAGAACUGUGAGUCGGUGAGUUGACUGUCCAGCCUCCACUCCAGAGUUAGGUCCUGGGAUGAGAAUCUAGAAACCUGGAUCUGAUUCAGGCUCCGUUUUUGAUUCAGUGUUUAACUCCUCUAAGUCCAGAAACGGUGUUAUAAGGCCCUCCGUUUUUUCCUCUGGGAUUGUUGCGUGGUGAUGACAUGGCUGUGUAGGCUGCACGGCUCUCUAAGGACAUAAACAGACUUUCCCAUUCACUGUAAAUUGGUGCAACUUCUUGGAAAGAUAUUAAAUGAUGACUCACAAAAUUUAAAAUGUGCAUAACCUUUGCUUUAGCAAUUCUAGAAAUCCAUAGUACAGAUUUAGUGGCUAAGUAUGUGGAAAGAUGUAUAUACAGGAGUGAUUAAUGAGACAUUGCUUGAAAUGGGAUUAAAAAGUGUUCAUCCAUAAAUAACCGCCUAAAUAAAUGAUGAAU
rnacentral:lncRNA from 1 species